rnacentral:lncRNA from 1 species
CCAGCCCACCUGAAAUUCCAAUCUUGCCCCUGCCCCUCACGAUAAAAAAAAUUCAGAUAUCACAGGUGUUGGGAGCUUCCCCAAGUCUUUUUCUAAAGAUAACAUGGUGUAACAGCGAUAGUCUACAAUCUAUUCAUAGCAUUUUCGAGGCACAUCAACAGAGCUACCAUCAUCCAUCUUUGCUAAACUGAGAAAUCUGGACCGACAAUCUAAACGCAGCAUCCGGAUCAAUCCUACCGCAAUCCUACCGCGUACCAAGAAAAAAACAAGUACAUGGAUCAGUAAGUUCAAUCCUAAUCGAUAUUUUUCUUCACGGAUGCGCCCUUCCCCCCAAAUCGAACCAAACUGAAACUAUACAGAACCCGGCCAGGAGAGUGAUUAGGGAGGCCUUACCCGGGAGGCACAUCAGUGGGAUCCAUGGUGUCCGUUCAGCCUGUUCCGACCGCCCGCAUCUGCUGGUUGCGUUCCUCCCCAGGAACCUAGCGGCGGCGCAAGAACGAGCGAGAGGAGAGAGGGACGAAAGAGAGGAGCUGCCUGGUGGCCGGUGGCCUGAUUCAAUCGUGAGGAGAUAAGGUGCCAAGCGGCAGGGGCAAGGUUGGAAUUUCAGGUGGGCUGGGAAAGAAAAAGAAAUGGGAAAAGAGGCAAAAUUGAGAAAAUAGAUGGAAAACACCUAAAAUGAAACAAUACGUGAGACGGGGGUCAAAUUCUGAAAGGCACGUGAAUUGGGUCCAAAAUCCUGAAAGGUGCUCGUAUUUGAUCCCAGAUUCUGAAAUUUCUCCACCAAAUAUACAUGAUUUUAU